AUUGAACGCUGGCGGCAGGCUUAACACAUGCAAGUCGAACGGUAGCAGGAGAAAGCUUGCUUUCUUGCUGACGAGUGGCGGACGGGUGAGUAAUGCUUGGGAAUCUGGCCUAUGGAGGGGGGAUAACGACGGGAAACUGUCGCUAAUACCGCGUAUUAUCGGAAGAUGAAAGUGCGGGACUGAGAGGCCGCAUGCCAUAGGAUGAGCCCAAGUGGGAUUAGGUAGUUGGUGGGGUAAAGGCCUACCAAGCCUGCGAUCUCUAGCUGGUCUGAGAGGAUGACCAGCCACACUGGAACUGAGACAUGGUCCAGACUCCUACGGGAGGCAGCAGUGGGGAAUAUUGCGCAAUGGGGGGAACCCUGACGCAGCCAUGCCGCGUGAAUGAAGAAGGCCUUCGGGUUGUAAACUGCUUUUGUACGGAACGAAACGGCCUUUUCUAAUAAAGAGGGCUAAUGACGGUACCGUAAGAAUAAGCACCGGCUAACUACGUGCCAGCAGCCGCGGUAAUACGUAGGGUGCAAGCGUUAAUCGGAAUUACUGGGCGUAAAGCGUGCGCAGGCGGUUAUGUAAGACAGUUGUGAAAUCCCCGGGCUCAACCUGGGAACUGCAUCUGUGACUGCAUAGCUAGAGUACGGUAGAGGGGGAUGGAAUUCCGCGUGUAGCAGUGAAAUGCGUAGAUAUGCGGAGGAACACCGAUGGCGAAGGCAAUCCCCUGGACCUGUACUGACGCUCAUGCACGAAAGCGUGGGGAGCAAACAGG
rnacentral:rRNA from 1 species